UACAGAGGUCUCAAGCGUUGUUCGGAUUCAUUGGGCGUAAAGGGUGUGUAGGUGGCGCGCUAAGUCGGGUGUGAAAUUUCGGAGCUUAACUCCGAAACUGCAUUUGAUACUGUGGUGCUUGAGGACUGGAGAGGAGACUGGAAUUCACGGUGUAGCAGUGAAAUGCGUAGAGAUCGUGAGGAAGACCAGUGGCGAAGGCGGGUCUCUGGACAGUUCCUGACACUGAGGCACGAAGGCCAGGGGAGCAAACGGG
rnacentral:rRNA from 1 species